AGACAGACAGACAGACAGGUUAGGAGGUGUUACUAUACAGACAGACAGACAGGCAGGCAGACAGACAGGUUAGAGUUAGGAGGUGUUACUGAACAGACAGACAGACAGACAGGUUAGGGUUAGGAGGUGUUACUAGACAGACAGACAGUCAGGUUAGGAGGUGUCACUAGACAGACAGACAGACAGACAGGUUAGGGUUAGGAGGUGUUACUAGACAGACAGACAGACAGGUUAGGGUUAGGAGGUGUUACUAUACAGACAGACAGACAGACAGAGACAGACAGACAGGUUAGGGUUAGGAGGUGUUACUAUACAGACAGACAGACAGGUUAGGGUUAGGAGGUGUUACUAGACAGACAGACAGACAGGUUAGGGUUAGGAGGUGUUACUAGACAGACAGACAGACGGGUUAGGGUUAGGAGAUGUUACUAGACAGACAGACAGACAGACAGACAGACAGACAGACAGACAGGUUAGGGUUAUGAGAUGUUACUGAAAAGACAGACAGACAGACAG
rnacentral:lncRNA from 1 species